AUAGCCUUUCGAAAGAAAGAUUAAUACCCGAUGGCAUAGUUCUUCCGCAUGGUGGAACUAUUAAAGAAUUUCGGUCAUCGAUGGGGAUGCGUUCCAUUAGGUUGUUGGCGGGGUAACGGCCCACCAAGCCUUCGAUGGAUAGGGGUUCUGAGAGGAAGGUCCCCCACAUUGGAACUGAGACACGGUCCAAACUCCUACGGGAGGCAGCAUG
rnacentral:rRNA from 1 species